UCUCCGUUGGUGAACCAGCGGAGGGAUCAUUAUAGAGUUACAAACUCCAAACCACUGUGAACAUACCUAUGUUGCUUCGGCGGGUUCCCGGUCGUCCGCGGCCGCCCCGCCGGAGGUAUCAAACUCUGAUUUCUAGCGAAUCUUCUGAGUCUUACAAUAAGCAAUCAAAACUUUCAGCAACGGAUCUCUUGGCUCUG
rnacentral:misc_RNA from 1 species